rnacentral:tRNA from 1 species
GACGGUUUGGCCGAGUGGUCUAAGGCGCCAGAUUUAGGCUCUGGUCCUGAAAGGGCGUGGGUUCAAAUCCCACAGCCGUCA